rnacentral:rRNA from 1 species
UACGGAGGAUGCAAGCGUUAUCCGGAAUCAUUGGGCGUAAAGCGUCCGUAGGUGGUUCAUCAAGUCUGCUGUCGAAGCACAAGGCUUAACCUUGUAAAGGCGGUGGAAACUGAUGGGCUAGAGUGAGGUAGGGGUAGAGGGAAUUCCCGGUGUAGCGGUGAAAUGCGUAGAGAUCGGGGAAGAACACCGGUGGCGAAAAGCGCUCUACUGGACCUCAACUGACACUGAGGGACGAAAGCUAGGGGAGCGAAUGGG